rnacentral:snoRNA from 1 species
CUGCAUGAGUUGCGUGUUUCUGUAAAUAUGGACAAACAAUAAGCUUGAUGGGAUUUAGUUGGUUAUUAAGUCUAAAAUGCUCAUAAGGGGACCACCACACAUUC